rnacentral:rRNA from 1 species
GUCCACGCUGUAAACGAUGUCAACUAGCUGUUGGGUGUAUAGAUGCACUUAGUGGCGCAGCUAACGCACUAAGUUGACCGCCUGGGGAGUACGGUCGCAAGAUUAAAACUCAAAGGAAUUGACGGGGGCCCGCACAAGCGGUGGAGCAUGUGGUUUAAUUCGAUGCAACGCGAAGAACCUUACCUACCCUUGACAUACCACGAAUCAUUUAGAGAUAGAUGAGUGCCUUCGGGAGCGUGGAUACAGGUGCUGCAUGGCU